rnacentral:rRNA from 1 species
CACGAGUUUGAUCCUGGCUCAGACGAACGCUGGCGGCAGGCCUAACACAUGCAAGUCGAGCGGGGGAGCAAUCCCUAGCGGCGGACGGGUUAGUAACGCGUGGGAACAUACCCUUUGGUACGGAAUAGCCUCGGGAAACUGAGAGUAAUACCGUAUGUGCCCUUCGGGGGAAAGAUUUAUCGCCAAAGGAUUGGCCCGCGUUGGAUUAGGUAGUUGGUGGGGUAAUGGCCUACCAAGCCUACGAUCCAUAGCUGGUUUGAGAGGAUGAUCAGCAACACUGGGACUGAGACACGGCCCAGACUCCUACGGGAGGCAGCAGUGGGGAAUCUUAGACAAUGGGCGCAAGCCUGAUCUAGCCAUGCCGCGUGAGCGAUGAAGGCCUUAGGGUUGUAAAGCUCUUUCAGAUGGGAAGAUAAUGACGGUACCAUCAGAAGAAGCCCCGGCUAACUCCGUG